UGUUUCUUUGAUAGAGUUGGCUGCUGCCUGCACAGAUGAUGGAAGUCUAUCAACUUGUCCAGAAAUUCACUGCAGGCUAUCCAUCUGACUGUACAGGUUGUGCUAUCAAUAUCAAGAAACUAAAUGCUUCACUACAAACACUGUAGGUCAACCAUGUGAUAGCAACUACAUGUAGUAUAAUUCAGUGGAUUUGGCUGCUGCCUUCACGGAAUAUGAUGAAAGCCUAACAACUUGGAACAUGUCUAGAAACUCACAGGUCAUCCAUGUGUCUGCAACUAUCUUCAUUGGGUUAUCCAUGUGACAGCUUAGUUAUCAUCUACACUCCAACCAUGGCAGCUCAUCCAUUUGUAUACUGACUACUUCACUCCAACCACUGUAGGUCAUCUAUGUGACGGCAACUAUUAUCUUCA